UUCUAUAGAUAUUCUAUAGCCAUGGUUCAUAGACAUUUUUUAGAUCACUCCUAUGAUUUUUAAAAUGGAAAUUUGUGAUAUAAAUGUUAUGCCUAUAGAAUAUGGAUGAUUUGGCACUUGUAGAUGUUAAAAUUCUUAGAUAUUCAUGUGAGAUUUAUCUGGUGGAAUACAUGACGUAUCCGAGUUUGCAAAACAAUUUGUUUUGAAAUGGAGAUCUAAGAGAUGAAGUGUGCCGCAUGGUUAAAAAGGUUGAAAACUACUGACCUAAUAUUUACUUAGGUACAGGUCCUGGAGACUGAAGUCAUUGGGAUACCCAUCUCCAUUUUUGCAUGAGACAAUUGCCUUAUAAAAUAGUUAUUCACGCUGCCAUUAGUCAUAAAGACAGUUUAAUUUGGAUCACUGCUGGAAGUUCUGUAAAGUUAUAACUAUCAAAAAGAAUUGAACGUGAUGUAAUCAAUACAAUUAACCACUAACAGUAAAUUGACAAUAUUGCAAUGGAUUGGACAACACUUUCAAACAUUACAAGUCCAUUAAGGAUACUCUCCAGGCGCUAUGAAGAAAUAGCAAUAAUAAACAUUAUGAAUAACUCCAGUGAUGGGUAGAAAAUUGGUAGAAAAAAGUGGUGAUAUGGUGAUAUAUUAAUUUAAUUCAUUGUUAGUAUCAAAACAAAAGUCAAUGCUUUUAAUAAAGUAGCCAAUAAUCUAAUGAUAUCGCUGUCAACAAAUUCAAUGUACUUCUGCAUACAAUUGUCUGUCAUAAUAAUAAAUACCUAUUUUAUCUAAAUUCUAAAAAGUUUAUAAUAUUAAAAAAAAUCUUUUUUUUUGUUAUUAAAAAUUUACAAAUACCCCUUGAAUGUCUAUAAUUUUUAUAUAUGCAAUUUAUCAUAUUAUCUCAGUGCACAAAUAUCAGAAUAAAUUAACUGUUAUAGUUAUUAAUACACAUUUAAGUUUUAACUAUAUAGAUAUAUAUAUAAGGAUGUAAUGGUAAAUAAUGUCUUGAGUAUACACCAUAUUUUCUAAAAUGUAUCUCAAAAAAAAUUUUCUUACUACGUUUGACACUUAGUCAAUAUGUAUACCAAAAUUUUUUCUAGCUCUGCUCCAAAAAUUGUAUAUAUAAGUGAAACAUACUUUUCUUACUUAAUUUUCAGUAUCAAUUAACAACCUCACCCACUUAUAGAAUGUAAAUAGUACUAUCAAUAACAGUUGUAACAAUAAAUUAUAUUAUUCUCUUUCAAAAACAAUUAAUAAAAUAAUACCCUUUUCCAUUUGUCACCAUUCACCGUAUACAGUAUAUACAUUACACUUUGUCAACUCAACAUUUACCUACCGUAUAUCUUUAUAAUGAAUAUUUUUUUCAUGUAUACGCAUUUUUUUUUAUAAAUACUGUUAUAAGUAAACGCUCCAGUCAAUUGCGUAUGCAGGGAGGGUGUUAAGGAGAUAUGGCACCCCCUUAAAAAUAAAUAUCUGUUCAAAUUAUAAAACAAGCACUAAAAAAAAGAGUCAUUUCGUGCAUAUAAUUAUGAUAUGACGCCCCCUUAAAAUUCCUACGUACGCCACUGGCUCCAGUACACAGUACACUCCUGGAUAUAUAUAAACAAAUCAUAACACUUUAUAAUUAAGUAUUUAUAUAUAUUUUUGUGUUGUGUAAUAAUACAUAAUCACACAACAUGCACAUAACACCAACAAGACCUGAAUAAUAAUAAUACA
rnacentral:lncRNA from 1 species